AGUGAACCAACAUUUACUAAGUCUCUACUAUGUGCUAAGCCCAGUGCCAAGGACACCAGACCAACACAUCCCAUUCAGUUUCCAAGGAGCCCAUAACCAAACACUCAUAGUGUGACCAGAUGAAGUGAUUAAAUCUUUCCCCUGUUUUGCCCCCUACCGACCACCUCGGGAGGGUCCUUCUCUACCAGUGCAGGUCUUUGGGUUUCCGUGAUGGAGAAUUUGAGAAUGGGCAGGUUUGAGAGGCCAUCCCCCUCAAAACACACACACACACACACACACACACACACACACACACACGAGGCUAAAGGUCAGUGAUAAGAAAGAGGAGGAGGAAAAUCAUCUCAGAAAAAGGGGAACAGGGAGUUCUCUUCGUGGCUCAGCGGUUAAAGAACCUGACUAGGAUCCAUGAGGUUGCGGGUUCAAUCCCUGGCCUCACUCAGCGGGUUAAGGAUUCGGCAUUGCCUGAGCUGUGGUGUUGGUCACAGACAUGGCUUGGAUCUGGUGUGGCUGUGGCUGUGGCGUAGGCCGGCAGCUGUAGCUCUGAUUCAACCCCUAGCCUGGGAACUUCCAUAUGCCUCGGGUGUGCCCCUAAAAAGACAAAAGACAAAAAAUAAAUAAAUAAGAAUAAAAUAAAAGAAUAAACAGAAUAAGCAAGGAGGUAGGGAAAGAUAGAGACCUUAAAGAGAAAUCCUCUUUCAGCCCUUGUUUUCAUCAGCAUGAUUUUCCUUGGACUGACGUUUCUUUACCUGCCCAAGGGGUGAAAGGCUCAGGGAAAAGGGAGAAAGGAGUCCCCUCAAGCUUGCCUUUGAGCCAGGCAAAAAGGGGGCUCCAUGUGGUCCAGACUUUGGGAAAAGGAACUUUUGUAGGAUUUGAAGCAAAAGCCUGAUAGUAAUAGAGAGUGUGUAUUCACACAGUGCACACCUGUGCCUAUUACUUCUCCCUGAAAUCUGGUGCAAGGAUGAGUGGUCAGUGCAGUUAAGAAUAGAGGGUAGGGGAGUUCCCGCUGUGACUCAGUGGAUUAAGAACCUGACUCGUGGUGGUCCCGUUGUGGCUCAGCGGUAACGAACCUGACCAGUAUCCAUGAGGAUGCACAUUUGUUACUGCAUGAGGAUCCCUGGCCUCAAACAGUGGGUUAAGGAUCUGGCCCUACUGCAAGCUGUGGUGUAGGUUGCAGAUGCAGCUCUGAUCCCACGUUGUCAUGGUNAGAAAGAAAGACAGAAAGACAGAAAGAAAGAAAGAGAAAGAAAGAAAGACAGACAGACAGAAAGAAAGAGAAAGAAAGAAAGACAGACAGACAAAGAAAGAGAAAGAAAGAAAGAAAGAAAGAAAGAAAAAAGAAAGAAAGAAAGAAAGACAGACAGAAAGAAAGAGAAAGAAAGAAAGAAAGAAAGAAAGAAAGAAAAAAGAAAGAAAGAAAGAAAGACAGACAGACAGAAAGAAAGAGAAAGAAAGACAGACAGACAAAGAAAGAGAAAGAAAGAAAGAAAGAAAGAAAGAAAGAAAGAAAGAAAGAAAGAAAAAGAAAAAGAAAGAAAGAAAAAGAAAGAAAGAAAGAAAGACAGACAGACAGACAGGUGAAGGAGCAGUCAUCUCCCAGGCUGGGCCCCUGCCCUCUCUGCAGCUCACAGCAGGAGCUGGAGCCCUUAGGCUCUGAAGCAGCCUCUCUAGUUGCCCAAGUGCCUGGUUGCCAGCUGUUUCCAUCCUGGAGCAUUGCCUCCAGGGCUCUGAUGCAACACCACAGCCCUGCCCUGGGGAGAAGGAAUCGGGCGCUUCACACAGGGUCGGGCUCUUUUUUUCAGGUAACUGUAGAGAUUUCAAGUCCUGGAUGGAGCAAGGAGAGAAAAGUCUCCCAGGCCCUAUCGAGGCUUGUCUUCUCUUGGACCCUUGACCCGCCCCUCACUGGCCCUGGCCUUCAAGGUUGGGUAUACGCUGGGCUCAGUGCAGCAUAUGGAGGUUCCCAGGCUAGGGGUGGAAUCGGAGCUAUUGCUGCCGGCCUACACCACAGCCACAGCAACGCCAGAUCUGUGACCUAGACUACAGCUCACGGCAAUGCUGGAUCCUUAAUUCACUGAGCAAGGACAAGGAUCAAACCCUCGUCCUCAUGGAUACUAGUCGGGUUCAUUAACCACUGAGCCAUGAUGGGAACUCCAAAAUGCACAUUCUUCAGGGCCCACCCUAGACUUAUCUGAACCAGAAGCUGGGGUGGGUGGAUGGGACAGCAGUGUUUUAAUAAGUUCUCCAGGGUUCUCUUGUGGCCCAGAGUUCUCUUGUGGUGCUGUCACUGCAGUGGAUGGAUUCUUGCUGCGGUGCGGGUUCAGUCCCUGGCCUGGGAACCUCCACAAGCCGUGGGCGUGGGCAAAAAACCCCAAACCAGAUCUCUGAGUGAUUCAGGUACAUUCUGAAGUUUGGGAACCACUUCCCAGAGGAUCAGGGAGGGUCAUGGAGGGCAGAUCCUGUCCUGUCCCUUCAUUUUAGUGAGAGGGAAACAGAGGCAUUGUACAGAGAGCAGGACCUGGCUCAGGUGGCACAGAUAAUCAAGCGGCAGAGGGGACACUGGAAGUUAGAACAUAUGUUUCCAGAGACACCCCCUCUUGCCUCGCCCCGCUCUUUCCUUUGACUCAGGCCGAUCACCCAAGUCCCUCCUGAUUCACUGUCAUUGUCUGGAGGGUCACCGUGAUGCCCGGACCAUCAGGGCCGCCCACUCCCUGUGCCAGGCACCAUGCUCACCCGCAUUGGCUUGAUGAACCCUCACAACAUCCAGGCGGGCUGGCUCAAGUAUAACCCCAUUUUGCGGACCAGAAAACUGAGCCUAGAGAAAGGUCAGGACACUUGGUCACAGAGCAAGAAAGGGCUGAGACGACUCACACCAGUUUCCUGCCUCCAGAGCCUAGGCUGUAGCCAGCAGGACCACACCCAGGCUUGCAGGAAGGGCUCUUCUCUAGCAUCUUCUGCUGAGACACCUGAAGGGACAAAAAGCUCCUUAAGCAGGUAAAACAGCUGGCAAACAGCCAAGGCCUCGAAGCUCCUGCAUUUACUCAGAGCAGAGCGCCUGUCGCUUGGUGUGCCCACAAUUGUGCCGACCUUGGAGGGCAGGAGCGGGGUGGAUCAGAAGCAGUCCACCAGGGAAUUCCUGUCAUGGCUCAGCGGAAAUGCGUCCGACUAGGAAUCAUGAAGUUGCGGGUUCGAUCCCUGACCUUGUUCAGUGGGUUAAGGAUCUGGCGUUGCCAUGAGCUGUGGUGUAGGUUGCAGAUGCAGCUCGGAUCCAGCGUUGCUGUGGCUGUGGCGUAGGCCAGCAGCUACAGCUCUGAUUAGACCCCCUAGUCUGGGAACCUCCAUUUCCCUCAAGUGCAGCCCUAAAAAUAAAAAAGAAAAAUUAUACAAGCGUCUUAGCAGUCUGGCAUAUUUUGGAGGACAUUUGCAAGUCUCAAUUAAAAUUUCAUAACUCAAUCUUCAUAAUGUAUAUUAUGAUUAGAAACUAUAGUAUAAAAUAUUAAGAAAGAUUUCAGUCUUUUUGUCUUUUUUUUGGCGGGGGGGCUGCACCCACAGCAUAUGGAGGUUCCCAGGCUAGGGGUCAAAUUGGAGUUGUAGCUGCCGGCCUACACCACAGCCACAGCAACGGGGGAUCCAGGCUGCGUCUGUGACCUACACCACAGCUCAUGGCAAUGCUGGAUCCUUAACUCACUGAACAGGGAUCCCGCGUUGCCGUGGGCUGUGGUGUAGGUCGAAGAUGCAGCUUGGACCCCGUGUUGCUGUGGUGUAGGCCAUGGCUCUGAUUCGACCCCAGCCUGGGAACCUCCAUAUGCCGCUGGAAGCGGCCCUAGAAAAGGUAAAAAGACAAAAAACAAAAACAAAAACAAAAAACCCCAAGAACUACCGUACGCUCCAGCAAUCCCAUUCCUAGUCAUAUAACUGGACAAAACUACAAUUCAAGAUACAUGAACCUGUAUGUUCAUAGCAGCACUAUUCACAGUAGCCCAGACAUGGAAACAACCUAAAUGUCCAGCAACAGAGGAGUGGAUUAAGAAGAUGCGGGAGAGUUCCCAUUGUGGCUCAGUGGUAACAAACCCACCUGGCAUCAACGAGGACACAGGUUCCAUCCUGGCCUUAACCCUCAGGCGGUUAAGGAUCCGUCAUUGCCAUGAGCUGCGAUGUAGGUCGCAGAUGAGGCUUGGAUCCCAUGUUGCUGUGGCUGUGGUGCAGAACAGCAGCUGCAGUUCUGAUUCGACCCCUAGCCUGGGAACUUCUACAUGCCGCAGGUGUGGCCCCGAAAAGCAAAAACAGAAACAAAAACAAGAUGUGGUACAUAUACACAGUGGAAUACUACUCACCCAUAAAAAGAAUGAAAUAAUGCCAUUUGGAGUAACAUGGAUGGAACUAGAGACUCUUAUACUCUUAUACUAAGACUCUUAUACUAAGUGAAGUAAGUCAGAAAGAUAUGAUAUCACUUAUACCUGGAAUCUAAAAUAUGGCACAAAUGCACCUUUCUAUAGAACAGGAACAGACUCACAGACCUGGGGAACAGACUUGUGGUUGCCAAAGGGGAAGGGGGCAGGGAGUGGGAUGGACUGGGAGUCUGGGGUUGGUAGAUACACAGAAUUACAUUUAGAAGGGAUAAGCAAGGAGGUCCUGCUCCACAGCACAGGGAACUAUAUCCAGUCUCUUGGGACAGAAUAAGACAGGGAAUGAUAUGAGAAAAAGAAUGUAGGAGUUCCCAUUAUGGCUUAGGGGGUUAUGAUCUCAACUAGUAUCUAUGAGGAUGUGAUAAGGAUCCGGCAUUGCUGUGGCUGUGGCGCAGGCCAGCAGCUGUGGCUCCAAUUCCAUCCUAGCCUGGAAACUUCUGCGUGCUGCAGGUGCUGCCCUAAAAAGCAAAAAAAAAA
rnacentral:lncRNA from 1 species